rnacentral:rRNA from 1 species
AUUGAACGCUGGCGGCAGGCCUAACACAUGCAAGUCGAGCGGACGAAGGGAGCUUGCUCCUGGAUUCAGCGGCGGACGGGCGAGUAAUGCCUAGGAAUCUGCCCGGUAGUGGGGGAUAACGUCCGGAAACGGGCGCUAAUACCGCAUACGUCCAGAUGGAGAAAGGGGGGGAUCUUCGGACACCACGCUAUCUGAUGAGCCUAGGUCGGAUUAGCUAGUUGGUGGGGUAAAGGCCUACCAAGGCGACGAUCCAUAACUGGUCUGAGAGGAUGAUCAGUCACACUGGAACUGAGACACGGUCCAGACUCCUACGGGAGGCAGCAGUAGGGAAUAUUGCGCAAUGGGCGAAAGCCUGAUCCAGCCAUGCCGCGUGUGUGAAGAAGGUCUUCGGAUUGUAAAACACUUUAAGUUGGGAAGAAGAGCAGUAAGUUUAUCCCUGCCUGUUUUGACGUUACCAACAGAAAAAGCACCGGCUAACUUCGUG